CCCGCCCCCCCUAGAUGUGGUUUAAUUGAUGCAACGGAAGAACCUUACCUGGCCUUCCCCCCCCGAACUUUCCAGAGAGGAUUGGUGCCUUCGGGAACUCGAACACAGGUGCUGCAUGGGUGUCAGCUCGUGUCGUGAGAUGUUGGGUUAAGUCCCGCAACGAGCGCAACCCUUGUCCUUAGUUGCCAGCACGUAAUGGUGGGAACUCUAAGGAGACCGCCGGUGACAAACCGGAGGAAGGUGGGGAUGACGUCAAGUCAUCAUGGCCCUUACGCCAGGGCUACACACGUACUACAAUGGUAGGGACAGAGGGCUGCGAGCCAAGCGACGGUAAG
rnacentral:rRNA from 1 species